GACUCUCUCUUUCCGUUCCCCUCUCCCUAAACUGAUCUUUGGCGUCAUUGCUUGGCGUGUUCUUUCCAGUUGCGUUAGCUCCGCCAUUAUUCGUCGCUCAGUCCAGCAGUGAAAGUGCCUCUCAAAAGCCGUUAAUUCCCAUCGAAAUUCAAUGAAGAAAAACGUAUUGAGAAAUACAUUUUUGACAUUUAUAUGUCGAAUAUUCUACAUCAAAUGAAUCAUCAAGUUUCGAGAGAAAAUCAACAUUUAGUUUCUCAAUUUCGCUUCUUCUGCAGAAUGGGAGCAUUUCUAAACUUUUUGUUGAAAUAGAAAACUGAAUUUCAAUAUUUCAACGUUUAAAAUGAAAAUAUGAAUGGAAUUUAUCAAGGAGAAUCAUGCAUUGCAUAUUAAAGCAAUAUAAGGCAGUGCUGAGGAGUUCCGAGAAUGAGAUUUUUUUCCAUCAACAACUUUCCUGCUUCACUGGAUAACACUUUUGAAAAGGAAUUCUCAGAACUUCUAAUCUCUUCAUAAAUUAUAAUCUUCGAGGUGAGAAAAGAGAUAAAAAUUUCAAACAAAGUAUAUUUUCACUUUAAUUUGAAAUAUUUUAUUCAAAAAGGUAAAACACCUCCUUCCUUAAAAAAGGAUUUAGAAAAAACUUCCGAACUUAAAAAUUAAUAUUGUGUCAUAUUAAAAUAAAUAUUGACGCAAAUAUUUAAUAGUAGUGUUAAUUGCUAUUAAAUUUAUUCAAUUAUAUUUCAUCAGUCUUAAUGGCUGUCAUAUUCUUCAUAUUAAAAUAACUUAUUAAUGUUUUUGCUAGUGUAGCAGUUGUCACUACAAAGACUGGGCGUCAGAUACCUUUUAAUUUCUUUUUGAAUUUUUCAUAAAAUUUAUUUAGAACGACAUAUGAUUGUCGUAUACUUCCUGAACAUAA